rnacentral:rRNA from 1 species
UACGGAGGGUGCGAGCGUUGUCCGGAAUCACUGGGCGUAAAGGGUGCGCAGGCGGUGGCCCGCGUGGGCGGUGAAAGCUCCUGGCUCAACUGGGAGAGGGCCGUCCAGACGGGGUCACUUGAGGGGCGGAGAGGGGCGUGGAAUUCCGGGUGGAGCGGUGAAAUGCGUAGAGAUCCGGAGGAACACCGACGGCGAAGGCAGCGCCCUGGCCGCCAUCUGACGCUCAGGCACGAAAGCUGGGGGAGCGAACAGG